UACAGAGGUCCCAAGCGUUGUUCGGAUUCAUUGGGCGUAAAGGGUGCGUAGGCGGCGCGGUAAGUCGGGUGUGAAAUCUCGGAGCUUAACUCCGAAACUGCAUUCGAUACUGCCGUGCUUGAGGACUGGAGAGGAGACUGGAAUUUACGGUGUAGCGGUGAAAUGCGUAGAUAUCGUAAGGAAGACCAGUGGCGAAGGCAGUCAUCUGGGCCAGUAUUGACGCUGAGGAGCGAAAGCGUGGGGAGCGAACAGG
rnacentral:rRNA from 1 species